ensembl:lncRNA
CACAGUGCAGUGAUUUGACUUUUUUAUCAUUGUGAUCUUUUAGUCUGACCUCCUUUAUAACACGGUAGAGGAGACUUGGAUUAAUUAUUUCUUAAUUGAAGCAGAGUAGAGCUUCUGGAAAGAUGUCAUAUCCUGCUUUAAAAAUGAACAUGAUGGAGGUCCUGGCAGAAAAGUGGCGAAGGACUCCACUAAUGGUAUGCGCUCUCGGGCAGGUGAGUGGGAAUCAGCGACUCCCCCAGCCAAGGAACAGAGCUUACCCAGGAUCUGCAGCAGGAGAAGGUCACAUCACUUAAGGAGGAGUGAGAGCCUCUGCCACGCAAAGGAGUGACAAAUUCAAUUGCAUCUCUACCUCCACAGCAAGUCUCAUGGAGGUGGCUAUGAGGAUUAAAUUGAAAUUGUGCACCUCCAAAAAGGAAAGGACUCAGCAGAUGGAGAAUGUUGGUGUGCUUGGGGAGCAGGAAACAACUGCGUGCUCAAGAGUGUUAAAACAAGAAACUGAGUGUUCCUGGUGCCAGGUCAUGGGGGGAAAUUUUGUGCCUUUGCAAAGCAGUGCUUUUCAAAGAGCCUGGGAGACUGUGAUUUCCUGAACUUUUAAAUUUGCGACAAAGAAAUCAUGUCUACAGCAUGUUUAAAGGACUUGAGUGAAAAUGUUCUUGUGGGCUCUGGUUUGCUCUUUCCAGCCCUGGCUGAGGGAGUGCUGAGGUGAGCAGGGGGUGCAGCCCAGUGUGGAAGGGUUUGGAUGUCAGUGCAAGCAGUGUCACCCUGGUAAGUCCAAAACACCUCUUGGAAGGUGAGUCAGGAAAGGAGAAGGUUCUGGAAGAUUUGGGUGUCUGAAAUGUGUCCCCAUCCUCCUCCCUGCUGCUGGGGAUGCUCCAGCCUGCAAGGACCCCACUGUUGGGUGCUGUGGGCAGGCUCAGGACACACUGCAUGGUUCGUUACCUGCAGAUGGAGGCUGAGCAGGGAUCACAGAACUGCCAAGGCUGGCACAGACCUGGGGGAAAAUGAGUCCAAGCAUUAACCCAGCAUUAACCCACUGUGCUCACACUAAACCAAAUCCCCAGGUGCCACAUCCAGGUGCCUUCAGAACACUCCCAGGAAUUGUGAUUCCAUCCCUUCGCUGCUACACCCUGAGUAGAUUUAACUUUCUUAGUGACUUUUUUCUCCCUUCACUUGUAUUGUUUCCCUGAAAGUGAAGAGUAUCUUCGUUUUCUAAUUUUGAAAAUUCUAUAUGAAAUUGUGCAAAUGGCUCCUCAAACUUGACAGAAGACCUAUGGGGUAAUGCAGUGAAGCUUAGUCUUAACAAAAUUACCACAAAUUGUGCUAAGAGCAUCAUAACUUAAAAUAACAUAAAAUAAGUGAAGGUUUUCUGAAAAGUAGUGCAUCCAUUUAAUGUUUAUCUGCAAAACUAAGCACACUGAAUGUAUAAUAAAUAACAAGAAAGAACUUUUGGCA